rnacentral:tRNA from 3 species
GCCCAGAUAGCUCAGUCGGUAGAGCAAAGGAUUGAAAAUCCUUGUGUCGUUGGUUCGAUUCCAAUUCUGGGCACCA